CAGGGGCAAAUCUGCAGUCAGUCCGUCUUCAGACGCUUCUUUCUUUCCAUCAUGAAGAUCUCGUAUCUGCUCGUGGUACUUUUGUUGGGAUCUUUGCUGGCAUUUGACAUGACAGGCGCUCAUCGUCAUCGCCGAUGUCGUCGCCAUCGUCACAGACGUCACCGUCGUCAUCGACACCAUGGUUGACUUAUAGGUCUUCGUCCGAAAAGAACUCUAAAUAUACUUCGGAUCAAUGUACAUGUACAUAUUCAAUAAAACAUAUCUA